rnacentral:lncRNA from 1 species
GGCAAAUGUUUAACUGGACUCAUUGGAGUAUGGGAACAGCUGCUAGAAUAAUAGCAGUGGCAGCGAUGUUCCUGGGAAUGGAUUUACCAGGACUGAAUCUUCCUGAUUCAUGGAAAACCUAUGCAAUGACCGGAUUCGUAGCCUGGCAUGUUGGGACUGAGGUUGUUCUGGAGGUACAUGCUUAUCGGCUCUCUCGCAAAGUUGAAAUAUUGGAUGAUGACAGAAUUCAGAUCCUUCAGUCAUUUACUGCAGUGG